rnacentral:rRNA from 1 species
GCCCCAAGGUAAGGAUAACGUCGAGAAAUCGGCGCUAAUACCUCAUAAUGCAGCGGACCCGCAUGGGUAUGUUGUAAGUUACGCCUUGGGAUAGGCUUGCGUCUGAUUAGCUAGUUGGUGUGGUAACGGCACACCAAGGCUACGAUCAGUAACUGGUCUGAGAGGAUGAUCAGUCACACUGGAACUGAGACACGGUCCAGACUCCUACGGGAGGCAGCAGUGAGGAAUAUUGGGCAAUGCACGAAAGUGUGACCCAGCAACGCCGCGUGGAGGAUGAAGGUAUUCUAUAUCGUAAACUCCUGUGAGAGCAGACGAAAGACAGAUUAUUAAUUUGGAUGACUGUAUGCUCAGAGGAAGCCCCGGCUAACUACGUG